GGAUUUUUUUUUUAUAGAAUAGUUUACCAUAUUAUCUUUUAUCGUUCUACCAAAUUUCAUAAUUUUUGCAAUUAAUUUAGUGUUAAAGUGGCUUGACAGUGCAAAAUAUGCACACAGAAAUUGCUUGCUUACAGUUGGCUAUAAGAAGCUAGCACCUUAUUUUUUGGUUUAGAUAGGGUGUCUUAGUAUUUGGUCCAGAUAAAUGUCUAUGUAAGCCUAAGGUAAAUGUUUACUAUGUUUCUACUAAAGCCUUAGAAUAUUUAAGACCACUCCCAGACCCUUGUUACCACAAGAUACUGCCCUGAGCUUAAAAACUAAAGUCCCUUGCCAGUUUAUUUUCGCACUCCCAGUUCCCCCAACCCCUCGCCCACUGCACACGCCGCUUCUCACACCAUCGGCUACCAGUUGCAAGUUCUCAGGUACUUGUUAAAAAAAAAAAAAAAAAAAGACUUCUAGUUCAUCAGAAGCAUUUCUAGGAGGAACAAAUCAAGUCAUGGAGGAAGAGAUUUUUGAUGUAGCAUAGCUGCUAGCUCAGUGACACCAUUUUUUCAGGGAGUUCCUCCUAACUUUUGCUUUAAUUAUAUAGUAACAUUGAGGACAAUGCAAUAUUUUAAGUUGGGGAGACUUUAUUUUGAUAGAUAUUUUUGUGAUGGGGUGUGAUAUGUCAUGAUGGAUGAUAAUUUGGUAGAUUGAUUUUAUUUUGGUAAUUUUUUUUUUAUGACAUUUAUAUUAGUAUGAUUUUUUUUUACUAGCUUCUUUAGUUUUUUUUCGUAGUUUAGUUGUAGGAAUGGUGUUGGGAUGUGAUUUUUGCUCCUUGGCCAAUUUUGGCUUGCUUGAUACCAACUUAGUUAAACCUUAGCAUAUGAAUUCUUGAUUUAAAAAAAAUAAAAAUAAAAAAUUGAAGUAAUGAUUCUUGUUGUGAAUUUUAGACUCAAUUUUUGGCUCUUACUUUCACUAAUUAGUCUCUUUAGGCUAGAAGUGAUUUUCUUUGAGUUCAUUUGUUUCAAUUGGGUUUUGGAUAGAUAUUCUACUUGGAUUAUCAUGUGCCAUGUGUGGUGAGUUUUUUGUGAGUUCUUUUACAUUACUUGUGGUCUAGAACUUGCCCGGAAUGUGUUUCAAGGCGAAAUUCUAGGUUACACUUGGUUUGACAAAUGAUGUUAGGCCUUCUUUGGAUCGUUUUUGCCUUAAAUUUCCUACCCUUGCAUAUUUUCCCUAGUCAACCCCUUUUGAGCCUUUAACCUUUUCUUUGGCAAUCAUAUUACAAGCUUUAACCUUUUGUUCUUCAUUGAUCCAUCUUUUGGUACCCUACCUCCUUAAGUGCGUUGAAAGUGCAAACGUAGGCUAAAAGUCUAAGUUUGGGGGUGAUAGUUGGAAAAAGUUGUGAUAUGGGAGUUACUUUAAGGUGAAAGAAAAAAAAUGAAGUAAAAAAAAUAAAAAAAAAUUUGGAAACUUCCUUGUUAUUUUGAAAAAGAAAAAAAAAAGGAAGGAAUAAUGAAGAGUUGUGAAUAAAGGGAAGACUAGUUGGUGAAAUGGAAAAUGAAGAAAAGGGUGGAAAAAUUUCAAAGGAAGUGUGCUUUGAUUGUUGAAAAUUGUAGUGCUUAGGGAGGUUUUUGAGUCACUAUUUCCAAAUUAUGUUCCUACCUUAACCAAAAGCCUACAUUACAACCCUUUAAGUCCUAAUUGAUUUUGAACCAAGUGUGUCUAUAUUAGUGGAGAAAUACAUGAAGGGCAAGCUUAUGGUACUACUUGUGCAAUUGAACAUCUUUGUGAGAGAAGAGAGUUAAUUCUUUCUAUUUAAUAUCCCAUUUAUGUUUUGAAUUACAUUUUCUAAGUGUGGGAUUCUCUCUUGAGUGUGAGGGCACAUGAGAAUUUAAGUUGUGAAAUUGUUCCAUUUUCCAAUUGAGAGGAAUGAACAAAAGAAAGUUGUUUUGUGAUAAGGAGACAAAUUUUGAAGCUUUAGUGCCAUGACUUGAUUGCUACUUUGAUCAACUUGGUGUUUGAGCACUUGAAAAGAAAAUGAAGUUUUUAAGAAGAAGUUGAUGAUUCAUGUGUUUUGAAUUAAUUGUUGGUACCAAUCAAAGUCAUGUUUUUGUGCUUAAAGUAGACUUUUUAACUUGGUAUGAUGUUGGUGCACUAUUGAGUCAAUUCCUUAGAAAGAAAUUUUAUGUUUUGAAUUGCUUGAGGACAAGCAAUAGUUUAAGUUUGGGGGUUUGAUAAGUUGGUAUUUUACCAACUUAUCUCUUCUUUAAUCUUAUAUUUUUGCUAUAUUUGCUUGAGAAAAUAGUGUAUUUAAUAUCAUUUACAUCUAUUUUACAGGUUUUAUUUGAUUUAGAAGUGAUCGGAAGAAACCAAGUGAAAAUUAAGUCAAAAAGAGGCCAAAUGGGACAGUUUUGCAAAACUGUCCAAACUGGACAGUUUUGCAAAAACGGGCCAGAUCUGCAAUUCCGAAAUUCAGUGGGUAUUUGUCAUUCUUUGAACUUGAAAGAAUUAGGUUACUAUAAGAUGAUAACUUGGGAGAAAAUAUCAUCAUCUUUGGCUCAACACAAGUCCUUGGAGGCUAGGGUUUCACACCAACACAUUGGAGGAGAAGAUUGGAAGCACUUUAAUGAGAUAUUCUUAAUCCUUUCUUCAAUUUCUUGUUUGGUAUUGAAUAUUUAUGUGUGUAGUAUUUCAUUUCAAUACUUGAACCUUGUUUAUGGAAGUAUAUAUUGUUUAAGUUUGGAUUGAAUCUCUUGUUUUGCUUUUGUGUUGAAUGAUUUUAUUCCUAAUGAAGUGAGUUAUUGUUUCUUUAA